rnacentral:rRNA from 1 species
ACUAACGCUGGCGGCGUGCCUAACACAUGCAAGUCGAACGCCGUAGCAAUACGGAGCGGCAGACGGGUGAGUAACACGUGGGAACGUACCCUUUGGUUCGGAACAACUCCGGGAAACUGGAGUUAAUACCGGAUAAGCCCUAUGGGGGAAAGAUUUAUCGCCGAAGGAUCGGCCCGCGUCUGAUAAGCUUGUUGGUAUGGUAACGGCCUACCAAGGCGACGAUCAGUAGCUGGUCUGAGAGGAUGAUCAGCCACACUGGGACUGAGACACGGCCCAGACUCCUACGGGAGGCAGCAGUGGGGAAUAUUGGACAAUGGGCGCAAGCCUGAUCCAGCCAUGCCGCGUGAGUGAUGAAGGCCUUAGGGUUGUAAAGCUCUUUCGCGCGCGACGAUAAUGACGGUAGCGCGAGAAGAAGCCCCGGCUAACUUCGU